UUAGUAACGGCGAGUGAAGCGGCAACAGCUCAAAUUUGAAAUCUGGCCCUCGGGUCCGAAUUGUAAUUUGUAGAGGAUGAUUUUGGUGCGGUAUCUUCCGAGUUCCUUGGAACAGGACGCCUUAGAGGGUGAGAGCCCCGUACGGUCGAAUGCCUAGCCUCUGUAAAUCUCCUUCGACGAGUCGAGUAGUUUGGGAAUGCUGCUCUAAAUGGGAGGUAAAUUUCUUCUAAAGCUAAAUAUUGGCCAGAGACCGAUAGCGCACAAGUAGAGUGAUCGAAAGAUGAAAAGCACUUUGAAAAGAGGGUUAAAUAGCACGUGAAAUUGUUGAAAGGGAAGGAUUUGUGACCAGACUUUUUCUGGGCGGAUCAUCCGGGGUUCUCUCCGGUGCACUUUGCCCAGUAAAGGCCAGCAUCGAUUUUCGGCGGCGGAUAAAAGCAGUGGGAAUGUGGCUCUCUACGGGGAGUGUUAUAGCCCAUUGUAUAAUACGCUGCUGGGGAUCGAGGUACGCGCUUCUGCAAGGAUGCUGGCGUAAUGGUUAUCAAUCACCCGUCUUGAAACACGGACCAAGGAGUCGAACAUUUAUGCGAGUGUUUGGGUGUUAAACCCUCACGCGUAAUGAAAGUGAACGGAGGUGAGAGCCCGUACGGGUGCAUCAUCGACCGAUCCUGAAGUUUUCGGAUGGAUUUGAGUAAGAGCAUAACUGUUCGGACCCGAAAGAUGGUGAACUAUGCGUGGAUAGGGUGAAGCCAGAGGAAACUCUGGUGGAGGCUCGCAGCGGUUCUGACGUGCAAAUCGAUCGUCAAAUCUGCGCAU
rnacentral:rRNA from 1 species